GAUCAGCGGCGGACGGGUGAGUAACACGUGAGCAACCUGCCUUUCAGAGGGGGACAACAGUUGGAAACGACUGCUAAUACCGCAUAACAUUGCCGAACGGCAUCGUUUGGCAAUCAAAGGAGCAAUCCGCUGAAAGAUGGGCUCGCGUCUGAUUAGAUAGUUGGUGAGGUAACGGCCCACCAAGUCGACGAUCAGUAGCCGGACUGAGAGGUUGAUCGGCCACAUUGGGACUGAGACACGGCCCAGACUCC
rnacentral:rRNA from 1 species